GACGAACGCUGGCGGCGUGCUUAACACAUGCAAGUCGAACGGUAAGGCCCUUUCGGGGGUACACGAGUGGCGAACGGGUGAGUAACACGUGAGUAACCUGCCCUUGACUCUGGGAUAACAUCUGGAAACAGGUGCUAAUACUGGAUAUUCUGCGAUGCCUGCAUGGGUGUUGUUGGAAAGUUCCGGCGGUCAGGGAUGGACUCGCGGCCUAUCAGAUUGUUGGUGAGGUAGUGGCUCACCAAGGCUUCGACGGGUAGCCGGACUGAGAGGUUGACCGGCCACAUUGGGACUGAGAUACGGCCCAAACUCCUGCGGGAGGCAGCAGUGGGGAAUAUUGCACAAUGGACGGAAGUCUGAUGCAGCAACGCCGCGUGCGGGAUGACGGCCUUCGGGUUGUAAACCGCUUUCAUCCAUGACGAAGCGAGAGUGACGGUAGUGGGAGAAGAAGCACCGGCUAACUACGUGCCAGCCGCCGCGGUAAGAC
rnacentral:rRNA from 1 species